AGAUUGAACGCUAGCGGGAUGCUUUACACAUGCAAGUCGAACGGCAGCGCGGACUUCGGUCUGGCGGCGAGUGGCGAACGGGUGAGUAAUAUAUCGGAACGUGCCCAGUAGCGGGGGAUAACUACGCGAAAGCGUGGCUAAUACCGCAUACGCCCUACGGGGGAAAGGGGGGGAUCGCAAGACCUCUCACUAUUGGAGCGGCCGAUAUCAGAUUAGCUAGUUGGUGAGGUAAAGGCUCACCAAGGCGACGAUCUGUAGCUGGUUUGAGAGGACGACCUGCCUCACUGGGACUGAGACACGGCCCAGACUCCUACGGGAGGCAGCAGUGGGGAAUUUGGACAAUGGGGAAACCUGAUCCAGCCAUCCCGCGUGUGCGAUGAAGGCCUUCGGUUGUAAGCACUUUGCGAGGAAGAACGGCGUUGACUAAUAUUCAGCGUCACGUGACGUACUGCAGAAUAAGACACCGUCUAACGUACGU
rnacentral:rRNA from 1 species